AUCAACGCUGGCGGCGUGCCUAAAACAUGCAAGUCGGACGCGAGCUUUCGGGCUCGAGUGGCGGACGGCUGAGUAACACGUGGGCGACCUGCCCAUCGGAGGGGGAUAACCGCCCGAAAGGGUGGCUAAGACCGCAUGCGACCCGGGCUUCGGUGACUGGGUGAAAGCAUUUAUGUGCCGGUGGAGGGGCCCGCGGCCGAUUAGCUAGUUGGAGGGGUAACGGCCCACCAAGGCGACGAUCGGUAGCCGGUCUGAGAGGAUGAUCGGCCAGACUGGGACUGAGACACGGCCCAGACUCCUGCGGGAGGCAGCAGUUAGGAAUCUUGGGCAAUGGGCGAAAGCCUGACCCAGCAACGCCGCGUGGGCGACGAAGCCCUUCGGGGUGUAAAGCCCUUUUCUUCGGGACGAUGAUGACGGUACCGGAGGAAGAAGCCCCGGCUAACUACGU
rnacentral:rRNA from 1 species